rnacentral:misc_RNA from 1 species
GUGAAUCAUCGAAUCUUUGAACGCAAAUUGCGCUUUCUGGCAUUCCGGGAAGUAUGCCUGUUUGAGGGUUAGUAUUAAUAAAAAAUCGGUUUAGUUACAAUCUGUGACGUUUCCGGAGUUUGGGCUAUCUUAACAUUUUUGGUUAAGAGGCUUAAAAUUGUCCUUUUUUGCGCAUUUUUAAAUGUACAUAAUUUUUUUUUAUUCGUCUAUUUUUAAUGUCCAAUCAUUAUUAGUAGUGAUCAUAUUGUGUGG